GAUCACGAGUUAAGGUUCCUAAAUAACCGUUUAGUGAUAAAAGAGGUAAGGGUGCAUAGACAAUCAGAAGGUUUGCCUAAAGCAGUCAUCCUUAAAAGAGUGUGUAAUAACUUAAUAAUCGAACAUUCUUGUGUAAAAUAUAAACGAAACUAAACGAUCUGUCGAAGCUGUGAUUGUCAAAUUUUAAUCGAGAG
rnacentral:ncRNA from 1 species